GGAGAUGACCAGGAUUUGACUGGAAAUAACCAAAUAUAAGUGCAGGCCGAAGUGCUGUACUGCGUAAAAUACAGCAAAAAUAUAAAUGCCGAAGAUAAUGACUUCGCAUACGCCGAUGUUGCGGUUCCCGCAUACGCCGGUGUAGCAGCCUAAUUUAUUUAGACUGCAGGUCUUACAUCGCUUGCUCGGAAGGGAAUUAAGAUCUUUAUAAAACCGAGAUGAGGCCGCUUGUAAAGGUAGUCCUAGUAUUAGUGCCGGGAGAGGUAAUCUCAAAAGGGUAACCCGUCGGACUUGCUGCAGGUAUAGGUUUGUCAUGUACCAUUCCUGCCUAAGAUAAACUUGACUAAGCUUGUAGGACUUAUAUGCAGUUUUUUCAGCACGUGGGUUCGAUUCCCGCCAUCUCCGCCA
rnacentral:tmRNA from 1 species